rnacentral:ncRNA from 1 species
AAUCAUUUGCCGCCGGGUAAAUAAACGUCUUGGCUCAUUCCGUUAGGCCUUAGAAGGAAUGAGUUCGAAGACGUUUUUUUGUA